rnacentral:rRNA from 1 species
UAACGCGUAGGUGACCUGCCCCGAAGUGGGGAAUAACUGCCCGAAAGGGUGGCUAAUACCGCAUGUGGUGAUGCGUUCAUUCGCAUCAGUAAAGCCGCAAGGCGCUUCGGGAGGGGCCUGCGUCCGAUUAGCUCGUUGGUGAGGUAACGGCUCACCAAGGCGACGAUCGGUAGGUGGUCUGAGAGGACGAUCACCCAGACUGGGACUGAGACACGGCCCAG